GCCGCAGUGGUGGAAUUGGCAGACACACUACUUUGAGGUGGUAGCGGGGUCACUCCCGUGGGGGUUCAAGUCCCUCCUGCGGCA
rnacentral:tRNA from 7 species